UAGAUUGAAGCCAGUUGUUUAGGGUGUUUAGCUGUUAACUAAUAUUUUGUGGGUUAAAUUCCCAUCAGUCUAG
rnacentral:tRNA from 1 species